AAGCCCAGGAGGUGACGCAAGCAGUUGCUCGGGCGAGAGAAUAACAGGAAGCGGGGACGAGGAAAAAACGGACCGGGCUGCAGCCCGAGGGUUCCGGCUCUCUUCGUUCCUCCCACCUUUCUCAGCACGUGCCAGAGGGGUAAUCUGGAAAAAGAUUUCGAUGCCGCGUCUUGUAGGGCCGCUUCCCAGUCGGGUUCCUAAGUUGUUACUGACACAUUCGCGCGGAGCUGAAGCGAACGUAGCUGGGCUGGCCCUACCACCCCACUGCGCAAGCGCCGGCGGAGCCCCCAGUCAGAUUUCUGGGGGAGGGGGUUGAGGAGGAGGAAAAGGGAGGGGGGUUAAGGGAAGAGGAGGAAGGGAAGACGCUGCUGAGGAAAGGAAGGAGAGAAGCCAGUAAUAAAAGGAGAAAGCGAAGCGGGAGGGAGGACAAUCUUUCCGUUAACUGGCUUUAAAAUUGAUAUCAAAUCCAAAUCGCAGUGCUUAUUCAAGCCUCUGUUUGACAGAGGCUUGCUGUGGGUCUUAGUCCUUCUGAAAAUGGCAAAUAUUGAAGAAAAAGUCAACUGCGUCCUCUGGUUGGCUGAACUCAAAUCAGCAACAGCUGUAAGAAGAAAAUUUGCUUCCCAUUAUAAGAAAGAGGCUCCCCACAGAAAUUUAAUUAACAACUGGAUGAAAAAAUUCAAGGAAACGGGCUCAAUUCAUGACAAGCCCAGAUCUGGGAGACCUCGAGCAAGUGAAGACACUGUGGCUGAAAUUGCAACUGAAGUAUUUAUAGCACAAGAUGGUGGUUAUGUUGAAUUUUAAUAAGAAACUUAUCAGUAUUUUAAAAUUUUAUAUAAUUUUUAAGUGUUAUUUGUUAGUUUGUAGCAUUUAUACUUCUGAAGUUAUUAAAGCUUAGAACUGCACUAAUAGUUUUGGGACAGCUUAUAUUUAUAGUCUGAGGGGCUGGGUUCCAGACAUGGUUCUGCUGUUUUGUAUAUAUAUAACCUUAGAUAAACCAUUUAACUUCUCUGGA